rnacentral:pre_miRNA from 1 species
GAAGUACCCCCUCUGUCCCAAAUUAUUUAUCUUAGAUUUGUCUAAAGGCAUAUGUAUCUAGACAUGUUUUAAUGUUAGAUAUGUCCAUAUCUAGAAAAAUCUAAGACAAGAAUUUGGGACGAAGGUAAUACCUU